UACGUAGGUGGCAAGCGUUGUCCGGAUUUACUGGGCGUAAAGAGCGCGCAGGCGGUCGGAUAAGUCGAAUGUGAAAGCCCCCGGCUCAACUGGGGAGGGUCAUUCGAUACUGUUCGACUCGAAGGCAGGAGAGGGAAGUGGAAUUCCCGGUGUAGUGGUGAAAUGCGCAGAGAUCGGGAGGAACACCCGUAGCGAAGGCGGCACUCUGGGCCGGUACUGACGCUGAGGAGCGAAAGCGUGGGGAGCAAACAGG
rnacentral:rRNA from 1 species